GCCAGGCGUAGUGGCGAACGCCUGUAAUCCCAGCUACUCGGAGGCUGAGGCAGGAGACUUACUUGAACCUGGGAGGCGGAGGUUGCAGUGAGCAGAGAUCGCGCCACCGCACUCCAGCCUGGGUAACAGAGCAAGACUCAGUCUCAA
ensembl:misc_RNA Metazoa_SRP Metazoan signal recognition particle RNA